rnacentral:rRNA from 1 species
CCUACGGGAGGCAGCAGUGGGGAAUAUUGGGCAAUGGGCGCAAGCCUGACCCAGCAACGCCGCGUGAAGGAAGAAGGCUUUCGGGUUGUAACCUUCUUUUCUCAGGGACGAAGAAAGUGACGGUACCUGAGGAAUAAGCCACGGCUAACUACGUGCCAGCAGCCGCGGCAAUACGUAGGUGGCAAGCGUUAUCCGGAUUUAUUGGGUGUAAAGUGCGUGUAGGCGGGAGCGCAAGUCAGAUGUGAAAACUCAGGGCUCAACCCUGAGCCUGCAUUUGAAACUGUGUUUCUUGAGUGCUGGAGAGGCAAUCGGAAUUCCGUGUGUAGCGGUGAAAUGCGUAGAUAUACGGAGGAACACCAGUGGCGAAGGCGGAUUGCUGGACAGUAACAGACGCUGAGGCGCGAAAGCGUGGGGAGCAAACAGGAUUAGAUACCCGUGUAGUC